CCCAGUAACUGCGAGUGAAGCGGCAACAGCUCAAAUUUGAAAUCUGGCCCUUUUAGGGUCCGAGUUGUAAUUUGUAGAGGAUGCUUCGGGGUGUGGCCGCCGUCUAAGUUCCUUGGAACAUGGCGUCGCAUAGGGUGAGAACCCCGCUAUGUGUCCGCCGGACCUCGCCCACGUAUAAGCCCUUCUACCAAUCAAGUUGUUUGGGAAUGCAUCUCUCAAUGGGAGGUAAAUUUCUUCCAAAGCUAAAUACUGGUCGGAGACCGAUCGCUCACAAAUAAAUUGAUCGAAAGAUGAAUAACACUUUGUAAAGAAAGUCAAAAAACCUGUGCAAUUGUUUAAAGGGAAGCGCUUGCUUGCAGACUCUCCCGCCGGUGCUCAGAUCGGGCUUCUGUCCGGUGGACUCUUCCCCGGGCGGACCAGCAUCCAUUCGGGCGGACCGACAAAGGCACAACUGGAGGUACCCGUCCAUCCUCGGGAGUUAUAUAGCGUGCUGCAUAGUACCUUCCUUGAUAGAGGUCAACUCAUCUGCUAGGAUGCUGGCGUAAUGGUGUCAUCCGCCCCGUCUUGAAACACGGACCAAGGAGUCUAACAACUCUUCUAGUGUUUGGGUGUCAAGACCGGGCGCGCAAUGAAAGUGAACGGAGGUGGGAUCCCUCCGCUGCACGAUCGACCGAUCCAGAAUUCCUCGGAUGGAUUUGAGUAAGAGCACAGCUGUUGGGACCCGAAAGAGUGUGAACUAUCCCUGAAUAGGGGGAAACCAGAAGAAAUUCUGGUGGAGGCUCGCAACGGUUUUUACGUGCAAAUCGAUCGUCAAAUUUGGGCAUAGGGGCGAAAGAGUAAUUGAACCAUUUGGUGGCUGGUUCCUCCCGAAGUUUCCCUCUCGGAUAACCGUGGCGCGCUUCAGUUUUAUGAGGUAAAGCGAAUGAUUAGAGGCAUCGGGGUUGAAACAACCUUCACCUAUUCUCAAACUUUGAAUAUGUAAGAAGUCCUUGUUGCUUAAUUGAACGUGGACAUUCGAAUGUAGCGUCACUAGUGGGCCAUUUUUGGUAAGCAGAACUGGCGAUGCGGGAUGAACCGAACGCGGGGUUAAGGUGCCGGAAUGCACGCUCAUCAGACACCACAAAAGGUGUUAGUUCAUCCAGACAGCAGGACAGUGGCCAUGGAAGUCGGAAUCCGCUAAGGAGUGUGUAACAACUCACCUGCCGAAUGAACUAGCCCUGAAAAUGGAUGGCGCUCAAGCGUGCUACCCAUACCCCGCCGCCCGGGCAGAAAUUACGCCCUGGCGAGUAGGCAGGCGUGGAGGCCCGUGACGAAGCC
rnacentral:rRNA from 1 species